CCAAGGCUAAAUACGGGCGAG
rnacentral:siRNA from 1 species